GUGGAUUCUCAAGCGUGAGGUAAGAGCAUUUGGUGGAUGCCUUGGCAUGUACAGGCGAAGAAGGACGUGGCACGCUGCGAUAAGCGUCGGGGAGUUGUGAGCAAACUUUGAUCCGGCGAUUUCCGAAUGGGGAAACCCACCUUCACCAUUUCUUCCAGUUGGCUUUCGGGCCAGCCGGGCGAGGUGGAUAAGGUAUCACCGAGCUGAAUAAAAUAGGCUUGGUGAAGCGAACCCGGGGAACUGAAACAUCUCAGUACCCGGAGGAAAAGACAUCAACAGAGAUUCCCGUAGUAGUGGCGAGCGAACCGGGACCAGGCCAGUGCCUUCUUUUCAACUAGCAGAACACUCUGGAAAGUGUGGCCGUAGCGGGUGACAGCCCCGUAUGCGAAAGUGAUGAAGAAGGACUAGAGUAGGGCGGGACACGUGAAAUCCUGUCUGAACAUGGGGGGACCACCCUCCAAGCCUAAAUACUCGUACAUGACCGAUAGCGAACACAGUACCGUGAGGGAAAGGUGAAAAGCACCCCGAUUAGGGGAGUGAAACAGUACCUGAAACCGAAUGCUUACAAGCAGUUGGAGCCUCUUUAGGGGGUGACAGCGUACCUCUUGCAUAAUGGGUCAGUGACUUAAUCUAGCAUGCGAGCUUAAGCCGUUAGGUGUAGGCGAAGCGAAAGCGAGUCUGAAUAGGGCGACUGAGUAUGUUGGAUUAGACCCGAAACCCGGCGAUCUAGGCAUGAGCAGGUUGAAGGUGCGGUAACACGCACUGGAGGACCGAACCGUUUAAUGUUGAAAAAUUAUCGGAUGACUUGUGUUUAGGGGUGAAAGGCCAAUCAAGCCGGGAAAUAGCUGGUUCUCCGCGAAAUCUAUUGAGGUAGAGCGUCAGAUGUAUGCCGAUGGGGGUAGAGCACUGGAUGGGCUAGGGCUGCGCGAGCGGUACCAAACCUAACCAAACUCCGAAUACCAUCGAGUCUUGUCUGGCAGACAGACGGCGGGUGCUAAGGUCCGUCGUCAAAAGGGAAACAGCCCUAACCUACAGCUAAGGUCCCCAAGUCAUAUCUAAGUGGGAAAGCAUGUGGGAAUCCCAAAACAACCAGGAGGUUGGCUUAGAAGCAGCCAUCCUUUAAAGAAAGCGUAACAGCUCACUGGUCUAAAUAAGGGUUCCUGCGGCGAAGAUGUAACGGGGCUAAAGAUAUGCACCGAAGCUUAGGGUUGCAGUUUACUGCAGCGGUAGCGGAGCGUUCCGUAAGCGAGUGAAGGCGAAGGGUAACCGACGCUGGACGUAUCGGAAGUGCGAAUGCUGACAUGAGUAGCGACAAACAGGGUGAGAUACCCUGUCGCCGAAAGACCAAGGGUUCCUACGCAAUGCUAAUCAGCGUAGGGUGAGCCGGCCCCUAAGACGAGCCCGAAGGGGGUAGUCGAUGGGAACCACGUUAAUAUUCGUGGGCCUGGUGGUGUGUGACGGAUCUCGUAAAUUGUUCCUCCUUAUUGGAUUGGAGGGGCGGUGAAGAGGUUCCAGGAAAUAGCCCCACCGUAUAGACCGUACCCGAAACCGACACAGGUGGUCAGGUAGAGUAUACCAAGGCGCUUGAGAGAAGUAUCCUGAAGGAACUCGGCAAAUUGCCUCCGUACCUUCGGAAGAAGGAGGCCCCAUCUAUGCGCAAGCACUGGUGGGGGGCACAGGCCAGGGGGUAGCGACUGUUUAUCAAAAACACAGGACUCUGCUAAGUCGGCUUCAAGACGACGUAUAGGGUCUGACGCCUGCCCGGUGCUGGAAGGUUAAGAGGAGGAGUGCAAGCUCCGAAUUGAAGCCCCAGUAAACGGCGGCCGUAACUAUAACGGUCCUAAGGUAGCGAAAUUCCUUGUCGGGUAAGUUCCGACCUGCACGAAUGGCGUAACGACUUCCCCACUGUCUCCAGGAUAUGCUCAGCGAAAUUGAAUUCUCCGUGAAGAUGCGGAGUACCCGCGGUUAGACGGAAAGACCCCGUGCACCUUUACUGCAGCUUCAGAGUGGUAUUAGGAAAGAGUUGUGUAGCAUAGGUGGGAGGCUUUGAAGUGUCGGCGCCAGCUGACAUGGAGCCAUAGGUGAAAUACCACCCUGCUGUUUUCUGAUAUCUAACCUCGCACCGUUAGCCGGUGUAGGGACCCUCUGUGGCGGGUAGUUUGACUGGGGCGGUCGCCUCCUAAAGAGUAACGGAGGCGCGCGAUGGUAGGCUCAGGACGGUUGGAAACCGUCUGUUAGAGUGCAAUGGCAUAAGCCUGCCUGACUGCGAGACUGACGAGUCGAGCAGAGACGAAAGUCGGUCAUAGUGAUCCGGUGGUCCCUCGUGGAAGGGCCAUCGCUCAACGGAUAAAAGGUACGCCGGGGAUAACAGGCUGAUGAUUCCCAAGAGCUCAUAUCGACGGAAUCGUUUGGCACCUCGAUGUCGGCUCAUCACAUCCUGGGGCUGGAGCAGGUCCCAAGGGUUUGGCUGUUCGCCAAUUAAAGUGGUACGUGAGCUGGGUUCAGAACGUCGCGAGACAGUUUGGUCCCUAUCUGCCGUGGGCGUCGAUACUUGAAAGGAGUUGCCCCUAGUACGAGAGGACCGGGGUGAACAUACCUCUGGUGUACCUGUCAUUCUGCCAAGAGUGCCGCAGGGUAGCUAUGUAUGGACGGGAUAACCGCUGAAAGCAUCUAAGCGGGAAGCCUCCCUUGAGAUUAGGUAUCUUUGAACCGUGAUAGACCAUCACGUUGAUAGGCCGGGUGUGGAAGUGCAGUAAUGUAUGGAGCUAACCGGUCCUAAUAGUUCAUAUCGCGCUUGA
rnacentral:rRNA from 1 species